rnacentral:rRNA from 1 species
GAUGAACGCUAGCUACAGGCUUAACACAUGCAAGUCGAGGGGCAGCAUAUCGGUUGCUUGCAACCGACGAUGGCGACCGGCGCACGGGUGAGUAACGCGUAUCCAACCUACCCUUGUCCAUCGGAUAACCCGUCGAAAGGCGGCCUAACACGAUAUGCGGUUCUCAGCAGGCAUCUAACGAGAACGAAAUGUGAAGGAGAAGGAUGGGGAUGCGUCUGAUUAGCUUGUUGGCGGGGUAACGGCCCACCAAGGCGACGAUCAGUAGGGGUUCUGAGAGGAAGGUCCCCCACAUUGGAACUGAGACACGGUCCAAACUCCUACGGGAGGCAGCAGUGAGGAAUAUUGGUCAAUGGACGGGAGUCUGAACCAGCAAGUAGCGUGCAGGACGAAC